CGUAGGCGGCAAGCGUUGUCCGGAUUUAUUGGGUUUAAAGGGUGCGUAGGCGGCCCUGUAAGUCAGUGCUGAAAUAUCCCGGCUUAACCGGGAGGGUGGCAUUGAUACUGCAGGGCUUGAGUAAAGUUGAGGUUGGCGAAAUUGACGGUGUAGCGGUGAAAUGCUUAGAUAUCGUCAAGAACACCGAUAGUGUAGACAGCUAACUAAGCUUUAACUGACGCUGAGGCACGAAAGUGUGGGGAUCAAACAGGAUUAGAUACCCUGGUAGUCCACACUGUAAACGUUGAUGACUCGCUGUUGGCGAUAUACAGUCAGCGGCUUAGAGAAAUCGUUAAGUCAUCCACCUGGGGAGUACGCCGGCAACGGUG
rnacentral:rRNA from 1 species